UCGGUGUCAAAUAGGAAGAAUAUUUAUCAGAUAAAUUUUUAUUACAUGUCUUCUCUCAUAGUUCAGAGCCAGCAGCUUCUUUUAACUUUUUUCCCUCACGAUCAUUGAGCUGGAUCUGGUACUCAAGUGUGAACUCCUCUAACAGGCCACACAAGACUGCUGGGGUAUAUGGUGAGGGUCCCAUGGAAUACGUUGGAAAUGUCCUUUUCCAGGGAGAUUUCUCACAUCCUGUGGAAGAAUGCUUCAGUCAGAUGGAGUCAGUGCUCUGCUCAACCAGUCACAAGAGCAGAGAAUCCAUCACUUCGUCCCAAAUAUGGUUUCUUACAUACUCCGAAGACAGCUCAUUGCUGAUGCUGGCCUGAAGACAGUGUUACUUGGUUACCCAACUCCUGGCUGACUCUCAGCUAAUCAUAGAUACAUGGGUGAGCUCAGCUGAUAUUAGCAGAGCCUAGCUUGGGUGGGCAGGAUGGCCCAGCUAAGCCCAGAAAACACUGUAGAUCCUCAAAUUUGUGAGCUAAUUUUUUUGUGUGUGGGGGUGGUAUUUGUGUGGGGUUGUUUUCUUUGUAAGCCAUUUGGCUUUGGGGUGGCUUGUUAUAUAUCAAAAGCCUUCUAAUGCUGGUAUUUCCCAAGGGUUUUUUCCCCCUAAAGCCUGGUACUACUAGUGUGAGUUAUGGUGUGUGCUAUGGGUUUUAGGGUCAGUUUUCUUACACUGAGAGAACUCAACUAGGACAUGACAUUGAUCACCAGUUUUGGAUAUUUGCUCCUGGAAAGCACAAGCAUUGGAGUUAAUUAAAUGUAUGUGUGUGUGUGUGUGUGUGUGUGUGUGUGUGUGUACACACAUAUAUAAUAAAAAUAUUAUUCACUCAAAUGAAACUCACAGUGUCUUCUCACAAUAAAAGUGCAUUUCUCUCUCG
rnacentral:lncRNA from 1 species